rnacentral:rRNA from 1 species
AUUGAACGCUGGCGGCAGGCCUAACGCAUGCAAGUCGAGCGGAUGAAGGGAGCUUGCUCCUGGAUUCAGCGGCGGACGGGUGAGUAAUGCCUAGGAAUCUGCCUGGUAGUGGGGGAUAACGUCCGGAAACGGGCGCUAAUACCGCAUACGUCCUGAGGGAGAAAGUGGGGGAUCUUCGGACCUCACGCUAUCAGAUGAGCCUAGGUCGGAUUAGCUAGUUGGUGGGGUAAAGGCCUACCAAGGCGACGAUCCGUAACUGGUCUGAGAGGAUGAUCAGUCACCCUGGAACUGAGACACGCUCCCGACUCCUACGGGAGGCAGCAGUGGGGAAUAUUGGACAAUGGGCGAAAGCCUGAUCCAGCCAUGCCGCGUGUGUGAAGAAGGUCUUCGGAUUGUAAAGCACUUUAAGUUGGGAGGAAGGGCAGUAAGUUCAUACCUUGCUGUUUUGACGUUACCAACAGAAUAAGCACCGGCUAACUUCGUG